UACGAAGGGGGCUAGCGUUGUUCGGAAUUACUGGGCGUAAAGCGCGUGUAGGCGGGUCUUUAAGUCAGGGGUGAAAUGCCAAGGCUCAACCUUGGAACUGCCUUUGAUACUGGAGAUCUUGAGUCCGGGAGAGGUGAGUGGAAUUGCGAGUGUAGAGGUGAAAUUCGUAGAUAUUCGCAAGAACACCAGUGGCGAAGGCGGCUCACUGGCCCGGAACUGACGCUGAGACGCGAAAGCCAGGGGAGCGAACGGG
rnacentral:rRNA from 1 species